rnacentral:rRNA from 1 species
GGACAACAGUUGGAAACGACUGCUAAUACCGCAUAAGCCCACGGGUCGGCAUCGACCAGAGGGAAAAGGAGCAAUCCGCUUUGAGAUGGCCUCGCGUCCGAUUAGCUAGUUGGUGAGGUAACGGCCCACCAAGGCAACGAUCGGUAGCCGGACUGAGAGGUUGAACGGCCACAUUGGGACUGAGACACGGCCCAGACUCCUACGGGAGGCAGCAGUGGGGAAUAUUGCACAAUGGGGGAAACCCUGAUGCAGCGACGCCGCGUGGAGGAAGAAGGUCUUCGGAUUGUAAACUCCUGUUGUUGAGGAAGAUAAUGACGGUACUCAACAAGGAAGUGACGGCUAACUACGUGCCAGCAGCCGCGGUAAAACGUAGGUCACAAGCGUUGUCCGGAAUUACUGGGUGUAAAGGGAGCGCAGGCGGGAAGACAAGUUGGAAGUGAAAUCUAUGGGCUCAACCCAUAAACUGCUUUCAAAACUGUUUUUCUUGAGUAGUGCAGAGGUAGGCGGAAUUCCCGGUGUAGCGGUGGAAUGCGUAGAUAUCGGGAGGAACACCAGUGGCGAAGGCGGCCUACUGGGCACCAACUGACGCUGAGGCUCGAAAGUGUGGGUAGCAAACAGGAUUAGAUACCCUGGUAGUCCACACCGUAAACGAUGAUUACUAGGUGUUGGAGGAUUGACCCCUUCAGUGCCGCAG